CACUGCCUAAUUUAGAAGUCGUCAAAUUACAGAAGCUAACUCUCCGGCGACUAUGUCCGACCAAAACACUAAAAUCAAUUUCCGUCACCCAUUGUCUUUUUGAAGCAAUGGUUUUCUUUGAAGAAAAAAAUUAAGAAAACUUGAUUAUCUCGUUAAGGAAAUUGUUGCCUUUUGAAGUAAAAUUGAUGCAUAUUUUAAGUAAAUCGAAGGAAAUUCUUGUCUUUUUGAAGCAAAUUGGUAUUCAUAUGUUAAGAUUCUUCCAGCCUAUGUUCAAGAAUUAAGCGGAAGUGUGAGGCUAUUUGGAGCGCAGUUCGGUCAGUAAUAUUGAGCCUCUAUUAAAAUACUAAUAUUGUUUGAUUUUCUUGGAACUCUUGCCUGCAUUCUCUUUUUAAAUAAUUCAAGAACUUGCUUUUUGAAGUUGCGUUGUUAAUUGAUGGAUUGUUUCCUGAUCAGCUAUUUUGCUUUACAUGGUCUAGAAUUUUUUGACUUUGAUUGUUUUUUGAAAGUUGAAAAUAGUGUCCUGUUAGAGAAUGGGAACUAUAUAGUUCAUUUUUUCUGAUUUUGUAAAGUUUAGUUUCUUGCCCCUCACUGAACCGCCCUUUUUGUGAAAUUACACAUGAGCUUCCUCUUUUCUUAUUCUUAUUACUCUCUCUGCUCUAUUUUAUAAGCAAUGACGAUGUGAAGGUCUUAUCUUCGGUGUAAUUUAAAUAAAACUUGUUUUCUCUCAAGGUGAUGGGUCUUUGAUUUUGGAAUUAAAUUUCCAUUUCACUGUGGUUCUUCUCUUUCUCAUAAGCCUGGAUGUCAAUGCUUUUGAGCUGAUUAAUUUUACUUGGCAAAGUUCAGUUUCUUUCACGCCCCUCACCAAACCUCUCUUUUUGUGAUAUUGCACAUGCACGUCCUCUUUUUGUAUUCUUAUCACUCACUCUGCUUCGUUUUAUACACAAUGAAGAUUUAGAUGUUUUCAUGCGUUGAUGUUCAAUCAAACAUGUUGCCUGGCGAGCUAAAGACCCAUUGCUUGGCAUGGCACUUCAGGUGGGUCUAAGAGAUUUUGGGAAAAGUUCCAUUUUAUGGUCCUUCUUCUCUGUCUCAUGGGCAAAUUGAUGCUUGCAGCAAUGUUGGGUGUCAUAGCUCUUGAGGUUAUCGUGCUUUGGCACCACAAAGUUCAAUCUUUUUGUCACUACUACACGACUUCCUACUUUUUUUGUUCUUAUUACUCUCUCUGGUAUAACUUUAUAAAGCAAUUUAACAUGUUUACUCUCGAGUUGAGAACUGUUGCUUGGCAUGAGAUUUAGGAAAAAGUUCCAUCUCAUGGUGGUCUUUUUUGUCUCGUAAGGCUAUUGCAGCCAUGACAUAUUUCAAAGCUUUUGAGAUGAUUCGUGUUUUGGCUUUGUGAAGUUUAGUCUCCCCCCCCCCUCCCCGGGAACCGCCCGUUUCGUGAAAUUACACAUGAGCUUCCUCUUUUCUUAUUCUUAUUACUCUCUUUGCUAUAUUUUAUAAGCAAUGACGAUGUGAAGGUCUUAUCUUCGGUGUAAUUUCAAUAAAACUUGUAAUCUCUCGAGCUGAUUAAUCUGUUGCUUGGCACGACAUCUUAGGUGGGUCUAUGAGAUUUUGGAAUUAAAUUUCUAUUUCAAGGUGGUUCUUCUCUUUCUCAUAAGCCUAAUUGUUGUUUGCAGCCACGAUGGAUUUCAAUGCUUUUGAGCUGAUCCGUAAUUUUACUUGGCGAAGUUCAGUUUCUUUCACACCCCUCACCAAACCUCUCUUUUUGUGAUAUUGCACAUGCACUUCUACUUUUUGUAUUCUUGUCACUCACUCUGCUUCGUUUUAUACACAAUGAAGAUUUGCAUGUUUUCAUGCGUUGAUGUUCAAUCAAACAUGUUGCCUGGCGAGCUAAAGACCCGUUGCUAGGCAUGGCACUUCAGGUGGGUCUAAGAGAUUUUGGGAAAAGUUCCAUUUUAUGGUCUUCUUCUCUGUCUCAUGGGCAAACUGAUGCUUGCAGCCAUGCUUGGUUUCAUAGCUUUUGAGGUUAUCGUGUUUUGGCACCACAAAGUUCAAUCUUUUUGUCACUACUAUAAGACUUUCUACUUUUUUGUCCUUAUUACUCUCUCUGGUAUAACUUAACAAAGCAAUUUAACAUGUUAUUUCUGGAGUUGAGAACUGUUGCUUGGCAUGAGAUUUAGUAGAAAGUUCCAUCUCAUGGUGGUCUUCUUUGUCUCGUAAAGCUAACUGAUGCUUGCAGCCAUGACAGAUUUCAAAGCUUUUGAGCUGAUUCGUGUUUUGGCUUUGUAAAGUUUAGUUUCUUUCCCCCUCACUGAACGACGGCCCUUUUCGUGAAAUUACACAUGAGCUUCCUCUUUUUUUAUUCUUAUUACUCUCUUUGUUCUAUUUUAUAAGCAAUGACGAUGUGAAUGUCUUAUCUUCGGUGUAAUUUAAAUAAAACUUGUUUUCUCUCGAGGUGAUUAAUCUGUUGCUUGGCACGGCACCUCAGGUGGGUCUAUGAGAUUUUGGAAUUAAAUUUCCAUUUCACGGUGGUUCUUCUCUUUCUCAUAAGCCUAGCUGUUGUUUACAGCCACGAUGGAUGUCAAUGCUUUUGAGCUGAUUAAUUUUAUUUGGCAAAGUUCAUUUUCUUUCACACCCCUCACCAAACCUCUCUUUUUGUGAUAUUGCACAUGCACGUCCUCUUUUUGUAUUCUUAUCACUCACUCUGCUUCGUUUUAUACACAAUGAAGACUUGGAUGUUUUCAUGCGUUGAUGUUCAAUCAAACAUGUUUCCUGGCGAGCUAAAGACCCGUUGCUUGGUAUGGCACCUCAGGUGGGUCUAAGAGAUUUUGGAAAAAGUUCUAUUUUAUGGUCCUUCUUCUCUGUCUCAUGGGCAAACUGAUGCUUGCAGCCAUGUUGGGUGUCAUAGCUCUUGAGGUUAUCGUGCUUUGGCACCACAAAGUUCAAUCUUCUUGUCACUACUACACGACUUUCUACUUUUUUUGUUGUUAUUACUCUAUCUGGUAUAACUUAAUAAAGAAAUUUAACAUGUUUUUUCUCGAGUUGAGAACUGUUGCUUGGCAUGAGAUUUAGGAGAAAGUUCCAUUUCAUGAUGGUCUUCUUUGUCACAUAAGGCUAACUGAUGCUUGCAACCCUGACAAAUUUCAAAGCUUUUGAGCUGAUUUGUGUUUUGGCUUAGUAAAGUUUAGUUUCUUUCCCUCCCUCACUGAACUGCCCUUUUCGUGAAAUUAGACACGAGCUUCCUCAUUUCUUAUUUUUAUUACUCUCUCUGCUCUAUUUUAUCAGCAAUGAGGAUGUGAAGAUCUCAUCUUCGGUGUAAUUUCAAUAAAACUUGUUUUCUCUCAAGGUGAUUAAUUUGUUGCUUGGCACAGUACCUAAGGUAGGUCUAUGAGAUUUUGGAAUUAAAUUUCCAUUUCAUGGUAGUUCUUCUCUUUCUCAUAAGCCUAACUGUUGUUUGCAACCACGAUGGAUUUCAAUGAUUUUGAGCCGAUUCGUGUUUUUACUUGGCAAAGUUCAGUUUUUUUCACACCUCUCACCAAACCUCUCUUUUUGUGAUAUUGCACAUGCACUCCCUCUUUUUGUAUUCUCAUCACUCAUUCUGCUUCAUUUUGUACACAAUGAAGAUUUAGAUGUUUUCAUGCGUUGAUGUUCAAUCUAACAUGUUGCCUGGCGAGCUAAAGACCCAUUGCUUGGCACGACACUUCAGGUGGUCUAAGAGAUUUUGGGAAAAGUUCCAUUUUAUGGUCCUUCUUAUCUGUCUCAUGGGCAAACUGAUGCUUGCAGCCAUGCUUGGGUUUCAUAGCUUAUCGUGUUUUUGCACCAUAAAGUUCAAUUUUUUUGUCACUACUACACGACUUUCUACUUUUUUUGUUCUUAUUACUCCUCUCUGGUAUAACUUAAUAAAGCAAUUUAACAUGUUUUGUUUCGAGUUGAGAACUGUUGCUUGGCAAGAGAUUUAGGAGAAAUUUCAUUUCAUGGUGGUCUUCUUAGUCUCGUAAGGCUAACUGAUGCUUGUAGCCAUGACAGAUUUCAAAGCUUUUGAGCUGACUCGUGUUUUGGCUUUGUAAAGUUUAGUUUCUUCCCCCCCACUGAACCCGCCUUCUCGUGAAAUUACACACGAGCUUCCUCUUUUCUUAUUCUUAUUGCUCUCUCUGCUCUAUUUUAUUAGCUAUGAGGAUAUGAAGGUCUUAUCUUCGGUGUAACUUCAAUAAAACUUGUUUUCUCUCGAGGUGAUUAAUCUGUUGCUUGGCACGACACGUUAGGUGGGUCUAUGAGAUUUUGGAAUUAAAUUUCCGUUCAUGGUGGUUCUUCUCUUUCUCAUUAGCCGAACUGUUGCUUGCAGCCAUGAUAGAUUUCAAUGCUUUUGAGCUGAUUCGUGUUUUUACUUGGCAAAGUUCAGUUUCUUUUACACCCCUCACCAAACCUCUCUUUUUGUGAUAUUGUACAUGCACUUCCUCUUUAUGUAUUCUUAUCACUCACUGUGGUUCGUUUUAUACACAAUGAAGAUUUGGAUGUUUUCAUGCGUUUAUGUUCAAUCAAACAUGUUGCCUGGCGAGCUAAAGACCGUUGCUUGGCAUGGCACUUCAGGUGGAUCUAAGAGAUUUUGGGAAAAGUUCCAUUUUAUGGUCCUUCUUCUCUGUCUCAUGGGCAAACUGAUGCUUGCAGCCAUGCAUUGUUUCAUAGCUGUUGAGGUUAUCGUGUUUUGGCACCACAAAGUUCAAUCUUUUUGUCACUAUUGCACGACUUUCUACUUCUUUUGUUCUUAUUACUCCUCUCUGGUACAACUUAACAAAGCAAUUUAACAAGUUUUUUCUCGAGUUGAGAACUGUUGCUUGGCAUGAGAUUUAGGAGAAAGUUGCAUUUCAUGGUGGUCUUCUUUGUCUCGUAAGGCUAACUGAUGCUUGCAGCCAUGACAAGUUUCGAAGCUUUUGAGCUGAUUCAUGUUUUGGCUUUGUAAAAUUAAGUUUCUUUUCCCCAUCACUGAACCACCCUUUUCGUGAAAUUACACAUGUGUUUCUUUUAAACGAUGAGGAUGUGGAGGUUUUGUCUUUUGUGGAAGUUCAAUAAACUGGUUUUCUAUUGAGCUGAUUAAACUGUUGCUUGGCACUGCACCUCAGGUGUGUCUAUGAGAUUUCUGAAUUUAAUUUCCUUUUCAUGGUGUUUCUUCUUUGUCUCAUAAGGCUAAUUGUUGUUUGCAGCCACAAUGGAUUUCAAUGCUUUUGAGAUGCUUCAUGUUUUUACUAGUCAAAGUUCAGUUUCUUUUCCACCCCUCACCGAACCACCGUUUUUGUGAUAUGACACAUGUGCUGCUUCUUUUUAUAUUCUUAUUACUCACUAUGCUCCGUUUUAUAUACCUAUGAUGGUUUGGAUGUUUUCUUUCGUUGAUGUUCAAUCAAACAUGUCGCCUGUCGAGCUAAAAGAACUGUUGCUGGGCAAGAUCAGUUGGGUCUAUGAGAUUUUGGGAGAAAUUCCCUUUUAUGGUCCACCUUCUCUGUCUCUUAGGCAAGCUGAUGGUGUUUCACAACUUAUCGUGUUUUGGCACCACUUAGUUCAAUAUUUUUGUCACUAAACUGGUGAAACUACACGACCUUCUACUUUUCUUUUUCUUAUUACACUCUUUUGUAUAACUCAAAAAAGCAAUUUAACAUGUUUUGCACCUCAGGUGGGUCUAUGAGAUUUCAGAGAAAUUUUCAUUUCAUGGUGCGUCUUCUCUGUCUCAUAAGGGUAACUGAUGCUUGCAGCCAUGACAAAUUUAAAAGCUUUUCAGCUUUUUCGUGUUUGGUCUUGGCAAAGUUCACUCUCUCCCCCCCUCCCCCCCACACCACCACCACCACACACACCCCACCAAACCACCUUUUUUCAUGAAGUUACACAUGAGCUUCCUCCUUUCUUAUUCUUAUUACUCUCUCUCAUGUGUUUUAUAAACAAUGAGUAUGUGGAAGUUUUCUCUUUCAUGGAAGUUCAGUAAAAAUUUGUAUUUGUUUUCUCGUGAGCUGAUUUUACUGUUGUUUGGCACGGCAUCUCAAGUGGGUCUAUGAGAUUUUUGAAUUCAGUUUCCAUUUCAUGGUGUUUCUUCUCUAUCUCAUAAGGCUAACUGUUGUUUGCAGCCACAAUGGAUUUCAGUGCUUUUGAGCUGAUUCAUGUUUUUACUUGGCAAUAUGUAGUUUCUUUCCCACCCCUCACCGAACCACCCUUUUCGUGAUACCACACAUUAACUCCCUCUUUUCUUAUUCUUAUUACUCACUGUGCUUCGUUUUAUGAACAAUGAAGAUUUGGAUGUUUCCAUCCGUUGAUGUUCAAUCAAACAUGUUGCCUAUGAGCUAAAGAACUGUUGCUUGGCGUGGCACUUAGGUGGGUCUAUGAAAUUUUCGGAAAAGUUCUAUUUUAUGGUCCUUCUUCUCUGUCUCAUAGACAAAAUGAUGCUUGUACCCAUGCUGGGUUUCACAACUUAUGAGCUUAUCGUGUUUUGGCACCACAAAGUUCAACUUUUUUGUCUCUAAAUCACCCUUUUUGUGAAACUACACGACUUUAUACUUCUCUUGUACUUAUUACUCUCUCUGGUAUAACUCAAAAAAGCAAUAUAAUAUGUUUUUUGUCGAGUUGAAAACUGUUGCUUGGCAUGGCACCUCAGGUGGGUAUUUGAGAUUUUGGAGAAAGUUCCAUUUCAUGGUGCGUUUUCUUUGUCUCGUAAGGCUUAACUGAUGCUUGCAGCCAUGAAAGAUUUCAAAUCUUUUGAGCUGAUUCGUGUUUUGGCUUGGCAAGGUUCAGUUUAUUUUCGUAAAAUUGCACAUGAGCUUCCUCUUCUCUUAUUCUAAUUACUCUCUUUGCUCCAUUUUAUAAGCGAUGAGGAUGUGGAUGUUUUAUCUUUCGUGGGAUUUCAGUAAUACUUGUUUUCUCUCGAGCUGAUUAAACUGUUGCUUUGGCACGACACCUCAGGUGGAAUUAUGAGAUUUUGGAAUUAAAUUUCCAUUUCAUGGUGUUUCUUUACUGUCUCAUAAAGGCUAAAUGUUGUUUGCAGCCACGACGGAUUUCAAUGCUUUUGAGCUGAUUCGUGUUUUUACUUGGCAAAGUUCAGUUCCUUUCACACCCCUCACUGAACCACUCUUUUUGUGAUGUUGCACAUGCACUUCCUUUUUUCACAUUCUAAUUACUCACUCUACUUCGUUUUACACACAAUGAAUAUUUGGAUGUUUUCUUUUGCCUGUCGAGCUAAAGAAUUGUGCUUGGCACGGCACUUCAUGCAGGUUUAUGAGAUUAUGGGAGAAGUUCCAUUUUAUGGUCCUUCUUCUCUAUCUCAUAGGCAAACUGAUGCUUGCAGCCAUGAAUGUUUCACAGUUUAUGAGCUUAUCGUGUGUUGCCCCACAAAGUUCAAUUUUUUUAUCACUAAAUCACCCUUUUGGUGAGACUUCACAACUUUCUAAUUUUCUUGUUCUUAUUACUCUCUCUGGUAUAACUUCAAAAAGCAAUUUGACAUGUUUUUUCUCGAGUUGAAAACUGUUUCUUGGCAUGGCAUCUCAGGUGGGUAUAUGAGAUUUAGGAGAGAGUUCCAUUUCACGGUGCGUCUUCUUUGUCUCAUAAGGCUUAACUGAUGCUGCAGCCAUGAGAGAUUUCAAAGCUUUUGAGCUGAUUCGUGUUUUGGCUUCGCAAAGUUCUGUUUCCUCCCCCCCUCACCAAAUCACCCUUUUUGUGAAAUUACACGUGAGCUUUCUCUUUUCUUAUUCUGAUUACUCUGUUUCAUCAACCUUGAGGAUGUGGAGGUUUUGUUUUUUGUUGAAUUUCAGUAAAACUUAUUUUCUUUUGUGCUGAAAAACUGUUGCUUGGCUCAGCACCUCAGGUGGGUGUAUGAGAUUUUUGAAUUAAAUUUCCAUUUCAUGGUGUUUCUUCUAACUUUGAACUAUUUCCUUGUUAUUGCAUGCUUUCCCAGAAUUAAACUAAAUCUUCCUAGCAAGUGAAGUAUUGCAUGCUUUCCCACAAAAUUUUGGCUUUAAAGUAGAGUCUCUAAGCUCUAUUUCUGACAUUUCUUUGUUGAAAAUUAUUACUAAAACUCAUGGGAUGCCAAAUGGAUAUUGCAGGGUUUUUAAGGUAAAGUUAUUUUGAGAUAUGACUGGUAGUAUUCAUUAGGAUAGGUAAAAAACUAACUUGGUCUUUGUUUUUGCCAUUGUAUACAAUAUGGCAAGUGUUUGUUCCAUGGAGUUGAUGAUUGUAGACAUGAAAAUCUUAAGAGUUAUUUGAUACCACAAGCUAUGCUCUCCUCUUAGGUGCAUGGGGACUCACAUAAAUAGAUUGCUGCUGGAAAUCGAGGUAAAACAUAUGAGCUUAUAAGGAAAAAGAAGAGUUGAAGAUGUCAGUCAGCUCCUCCCUUUUACCAAGGCAAGAAAGUUCCUUGCCACAUGUGAGUCUUCAAGAAUGGCUGGAUGAAAUAACAAUACAAGACUGUUCAUGAUGUGCCACUCAUACCAGAAGCUUUCUGGAGCUUACACAGCUGUCAUCCCACCAAUGUGAUCAAUCUUCCAUCCUAAGUUGUGGUGAUUGUGUAUUCUUUGAUGAGAGGUAAUAGUAUCAAAUUUCUUGUGAGGGUAAGGUAUCUUUCUGAUACAAUCUAAAUAAAAAAAUAUGUUAGUAACUCAGAUGAUGUUACUACAUGUGAUGGGGAGUAAAAAGAAGGUAAACCAUUCCUUCCAUUUGUUCCUGACCUUAAUAAGAGCCUAAGUUGCAUUGACCCUUCAUUGUUGCUGCUGCACCCACGUCGACACGAGGCGUGCGUGGGUGCGGGAUAUGUGUUGGAUUGGGUCAACCCACAUUUUGUCUCCUGUUUAGCUUUUUCCUCUUGGUCACUGUUUGUUGCUUCUUGAUUUAUGCCUUAUAGAGAGAAACUAAGAGUUCAAGCGGUUGUGUUUUGACCUCUGGUAGACAGUAGCAGUGAUCUGUACGGAAGUUGGUGGAAUUAAGGCCUUGAAUUCCUUUUUUUUUUAGGGGAACAACCAGAGAGCUUGAAAGAAGAAGUUGGGGUCUUGGGGAAAACGAGUUAGAAGAUCUUUCAAAAUUUUAAAUAUCUCUGUAGUUUUAUUUUAAAUUUUAGAAUUUUUUCGCCAAAGUCCAGCACCCGUAUUGAUGACAUUAUUCACAUUUUAGGAAAUACUCCACUAGCUAACAAGAUUUAAGCACGUAUUUCAUAAGCAUGAUCCCUUACAUCGCUGAAAAUGAAAUUGGAACUUCUGUUGAACAUGAAGUUGUUUUCACGUAUAAUUUUGGAAAGAAUGGAACAUAGUGUCUUGGUCCCUGCCAUCUUGUUCCCAAACCCUGCAAAGUUUGAUCUCAAUUUUUUUGCUCUUUCUUGAAAGGAUAUAGCCAGUAUAGGGGGACAUGAUCCAUUGGAUGUUUUUGGUUUAGGUUCUUCUGAAUUCUAUUAUGAUGGAAAUGAUUUGGCACAUGUAUUCUCAUGGUGAAGAGAAUCUCAAGAAUUAUUUGAUACCACAGGCUAUGCUCUCCUCUAGGGUGGGUCGGGACUCACGUAAAUGGAUUGAUGUUGGAAAUAAAGGUGAAACUGAUAAGCUAUAAGGAAGAGAUGAGUAGAAGAAGCCAUUGCUCCUCCAUUUUACCAAGGCAAAAGGAAGUUCUUUGCCAUGAGUGAGUCUACAAGAAAGGCAGCAGGAAAUAACACUAUUAAGAUUUUUCACACUGUGCCACUCAUGCCUGGUAAUUUGUGCUUGAUUGCUUUGACCAUGCUUUUGCAGGUCAUUCCUGAAAUUGGUUACCAAUUUACUACACAACUAUGCUGACCAAAUUCAAAACUGGGGAUGGAUCUGCGAACAUUUAUUUUCAAGCUUCAAGAUCAUUUACCAGGUAAGUUAUGAUCUUUGUUUAUACUUUGAUCACACAACCAGUCUAUCGAACUUGAAAAAAUUUCCCAUUUACCAGAAAAUGCAUUGCAUUAAAUUUUGCAACAUUUCAUCAAAGUUAAACCUAACUAUGAGCUUGAAGUUAUUUUGUUUUGGUUUAAGCAGGAACUUAAAUCUGAUUCACAAAAGCCAACAUCUUUCACACUUCUUGCUGUAACAUUCUCUUAUACUUGUCCCUGUCAAAUUAUAUUACAUGCAAACCAUUUGCAGAUCAGUCUUUGAAGGGAAAGGUAUUGUAGUAGUGAUUAUGGUUGUUCAUACAGGUUAAUCGCUCACCUACUUUCUCAAACCUUUUACCACACCUUUAUAGCUUAUUCUCUUUGACAUUCACAUUCCUUUCUCAUAAGGAUAUUUGCCGGUGUAAAUGUGGAAAACAAAGCAUGAAAAGCACUUCUUCUCAUGCUAGUUAUUCCAUUCUGUGGUAUCAUCAACAAUUUAUAUUAGUUCAGUGCUCCAUCUUGUUUAAAGCAAGAAGGAUUUUCAAGUGUCAUUUGAGUCCAUCGUCUCUUAAGGUCCAUUUUUUAGAGGGGGUUUGCCUCCCUUCUUUGGUAAGCCCUGAUUUUUUUGAAGUUAUGCACUUGCGCUAGUUUGCAUCUCUGUUUUUGCAAGUAAUUACUUGUGAACCUCUUUUUGUUACAUUAAUUCAGAAUGAGGCUACAGUGAGAAUUAUGCGAUUUCUGUUCGAGGGUGGUUGCCCUACUCUAUGAUUUUCCUGUGAUUCUUUCAUUUUCUAAAGAAAUCAACAGCCCUUCAAAAAAGAGAAAAAGACAUAGAUAGAGUACACUACAGUUUUUGGCCUUUCCCCCCAUCAUUUAUGUUCUGGGACUGUGAUUUUCUUGAGCUUCAGGUCUAUUGGGAACAAACUUCUCUAGUCCCCCCCACAAAGGACCAGGGUAAGGUCUAUCUACCAAUGCUAGCUUUUAAUUAUAGGUUAAGGCUGUGAUGAUGACAAAUGAAGUUGUAUUGAGUUGGGUCAGGCAUUGGAGCUACCUUUCUUGGCAAGGCAACCUGGUAAGGCGUCAGCAUUUUGCAACGGAGUUCUGCAGCCAUGGCGGUUACUUUGUCUCCUUUUGCCUGGUGUUAUUACAAAUCUGAGCCUCAGGAGAAAGACGUUUGAAGUCUUGUGAAUUCCAUUUUGUUAGGUUUGCCUAAAAAAUUCAAGAAUGAAGCAGCAGAGAGUAUGGGAUUUCUAUCAAGGGUGGUUGCCCUUAUCUCUAUGCUUUGCCUAUGAUACUCCAUUUUUUAAUACAAACUAACAGCCCUUAAGAAAGGGGACAGAGAGUACACUUGAGUUUCUGGUUUUCUUUGCAUCUUUGCACUCUUAAACGUAUGCUCAUAAGGCAAUAAACAACUAUACAACAAUAGCAGCAUGACUAUGAAAAUUAUAAAAGAGGCAGUGAUGAUUUCUGGGAUAACUAAAUUCGGGCAUUGAGAUUACCCAACCCGUAUCUUGGCGGGGCAACCCGGUAUGGCCUGUAGUUGAGACGCGUAACUCACACAUGCAAUUGUUUGGUGCAUCCAUGGUGUGCUUGGCUUCUCUUUGGCCUUAUCUUCACACAAAUCUGAGCCUCAAUUUGCUAAAGAAAAAAAGGAGAAUAAGGUCAAAUUUACACCUUCACUAUGUAUAAGGAGCAAUAUCUUUUCCAUGAUUAAUGUGGAAGAUAUUGUACCAACGCCGUUCUGAUUUGCAGUUUUAGUGCUUAUUGAUAAUGUAUUAAAACAUUAUAAAUACAUUGAUUGUAGUUGGUAAUACAUGAUUAGGUACUCAACCUACAUUCUCAAACCUUUUACUACACUUCAUAGCUUAUAAUCUUCAACAUUCAUAUUGCUCCCUGUCUAAAUGUGCAAAUCAUAGCAUUUCAAUUUAAUUUUUAUAACUUAAUGACAUCAUUUAUGUUUUAGGAAAUACUCUACUAGCUAACAAUAUUCUCUAGAAUAAGAAAAUGAUUGUUUUCUUCAUAAUACAGGUUCUGUGUAUUGUAUGCGUUAAUCUAACUGAUGUGGGCCUGUUAGAAUUUAUUUAACAGAUGGAUCAUCAAUAGUUUCCCUAUCAGUGAAUUGGGUCCUGAAUAAACAAGGCUUGCAGGAGUAACUUCAUACUUGAUUUAUGAAUUUGGAGCUACCUCGAUGCUUUCUCUUGCCUCCAUCCACCCCCAUAUAAUAAAAAGAGAAAGAACAAGGAUUUAGAACCGAAAGUGAUUUAAGAUAUUUUCUUUAUUCCUGAUGUCUUUGUUUCCAUUUGUGUUGGAACAAUAACACUCCGAUAUGGAUGAGUAUGUCCAUAAUCCAUGCCAGGUGGUCUUCUUAUGUUGAAGCAAGCAAUGCUAUAAACUUGGAACAUUCGCAGUGUGUGUGAGUGGUUCUAGAGCCCUCAAGCCCAAAAAUCUGCUGUCCUUUUGGUUGUGUAUAAAUGAGCUAAUCCAAGCCCAAUUUUAGCCAGGUUCAGCUCAACUUGGUGCAUUGAGAGAUGAGCUCAAGGUUGUCUUGAAUCUAAUCAGGCCCGGGCUCAAGACAGUCAGUUUUUUUUAAUAGAUAACUGUGGUGCCCUGACCAGCUUGCAUGCACCUCGAUGAUCAUGUUUUUGCUGAGUGGAAUAACGGCUCUACAGGGAGAUGGGGAGCGUUAAGUGAUUGCCUAGUCGCAGCUCAAUUCGAUCUGGGUUAUCUUGUAUGAUUUCUCAAGGGUUGUUGAGGAGUUGGUUUUCAAUAGCCUUGAUGCUGUUUCCACCCGGUAUCUGUUGCUAUUGACAUUGGGACCUGCUAUGUUAAGGUGGAUGACAAUGGAUCUGGUGUUUCACGUGAUGGACUGGUGUUGAUGGGAGAAAAAUAUAGUCAUCUUUUUGCAAAAUGCAACUCAAACAAUGACCUAGUGACCCCCUCUCAGGCUACAUUUCAGGUCCUGAUGUUUACACCAAUGAAGGUCCUUCAAUAUUUUUGUAUCCACUUGUUACUUGUAUAUUUUCCUGACCAAAGAAAAACGGAAGACCAAUCUUUGGUAGCAUUUUUUAUGUCAGAUGCCUGUUUUUACGGUGUUUUAGUUUUCCUUGACCUCCGUAAUGCAAAUAUCAAUUCAAGAUUUUGUUUCCAGAGGACCAAUACAUAAAUUACUUAAUAACACAGCUAUGACAGUGCUUCUUACAUUGAGAAGUGAAGUAGAUCUCAGAUAUAUCCACAGAGGACUGGUGGUGGGUUGCUUCCAAGGCUGUUUCUGGACUGGUUUUCAAUGCCUUCUGAAGCUGUCCAUGCCCUGUUAAAAGGCCAAAUACAGAAAUGGAUGAGUAUUUACAGGCAAAAUUCCCUUUAUAGUAGAUAGUCCGGCAUAGCAUAACUCAUUUAUUACUCACCGCGUUAGAAUCCCUACAUUAUUAUAUACCGCAUAACAGUUUUUACAUUAUUAUCACUGCAUAAACAUUCCCUGUAUGACUACACGUCGUUUGUUCAUUUUUGUUCCAUGUUAGAUGUGCAAUCAACUUGCCAGAAAUUAUGUGCAGCAUUUAACUCCCUUUUUUGGAACCAAUAAUAGCUUUAUCGAAACUGAUUAUGUUAAUUCGAUAAAGCUAUUUAUGUGCUUUUCAAGAAUCUGUUUUGGUGACUAGUUGGUUCGUAAUGGUACUUGUAGGACUGGCGCCCUGGCCUUCUCUUUAUUCACCAUGGUUUCUUAUGCUUCCUUAUACCACCGACAUCAAAAUAAAGCCAUUCAAACGAUAUGCAUCGGCUUUAAAAGAGAGGCUCUGAGCUACCUUUCUUUGUUGGAAAUUGUUACUAAAGCUCAUGGGAGGCCAAAUGUAUAUCCUAAGGUUUUGAAAGUAAAGUUUUUUGAGAUUUAGUUUGUAGUAUCCAUUAGGACAGUGGAGCUGGGAUGUGCAUGGACCCGUUUUCGGCAGAGGCCAUUGGGCAAGGUACUUUCUAUUAAAUGAGAAAGGUGAGAAAGUUGAACUGCAACAUGGAAUUUUGAAGACCAACUGCAUUGACUGCUUAGACCGUACAAAUGUAAAACAGAGCAUGCUAGGUCGGAAAUGUCUGAAUUCCAACUGAGAAGGCUUGGUUCUUUCAACGCUGAGGAAACUUUUAGCUCACACCCAAUCUUGACGAAAGCUUACACUCUGUGAGAAGUUUUUUGAUAUCUGUGUUAGAGCUUCUAUGCUGGAUAGAUAUUAGGUUUUUUGAUAUCUGUGUUAGAGCUUCUAUGCUGGGACAGCCAUGGUACUCUAGAUUUAAAGGGAAUUUUUGUCAGGCACUCGAAUGUGGAGAAGAGGGGCUGAUUCUGAUGGAUUUGUUGCAAAUUUCGUGGAAAGGGAGCAAAUUAUUAAGUUGACAGGGUAUACAACAUCAUUUGUUCAGAUGUGGUCACAUAACAGCCCAAUGGGUUCCCACUGACCAAUGUAACGCCCUAACCGGAUACUAUUUGGAGCAAUUUUGUUGGUGGUAGUAAGCAGCAUGUUAAUUAUGAUGGAGAAGGGGUAUCCUUCACAGAAAUUACAUACAGUGAUGCGGCUUUGGAAAUUUCCAGAUCAGUGUGGAUGGGUCUGUGAAACUAACAGAUGAGGUUCCAGAGCGCAGUUUGGUCCGUGAAGCCGAAUUCAGAAAAUAUUUGAUGUUAAAGACUUACUAAAGCUUUUUUGCUGGCAAGUACUUUUAGGAAGAACUAAAAGAUUUUUUUUUAUAUUUCAAUAGCAGGUUCAUAUGUACUGGUGAUAACAGACCGUGAAUGUGUUUGAUCUUACUUUGGGCACCCUCUCUUUGAAGUUCCAUUGAUGAAAUUUUAUCCUUGUGACCAGUCACUCAAGAACUCUACUACUGAACAGAAAAACGUGGAAGUCAGUUUCCGGCACUUUCCGGCACUGCUAAUGUCGUAUAGAGGACUCCUAGUUUGUACUUCUCUUAUGAUGUCAAUUAACUAUUGAG